AGCUGGGGGUGAAGGCAAUUUCCGGGGAGCCUCUAAGGAGUCAGCGGGUGGGAGGUCCCCGGGGAAACUGAUUGAAGGAGAGAACUAACACCCUAAAGUCAUCUUCUGACCUACAGAGACCGACACCCACCCUCCACGGGACAAAUGCACCCACCUCAUCCCUACUCCUGACAGCCUCUGGGCCCGCCAUAU